UUUUUUUCUGAGAUGGUUUAUACAACUAUUAUUUUGAGUUGAGUUCAACCUGUAUGACAUGUUUGCCACAUGGCUCGGUGUUAGCAUAUUUAGCUUAGCAUGCUGAAUGUUUACGGAGUUGGAGAAAAAAAUCGAGCCGCUGAACAUUCAGUCAAAUUCUUGGCCAACUUAAAUAGAUUUGUAAUAAUCUGGAGUAUGUCUUUCAUGAUCUUGAGUGUUUACAUGAAUAUUGGUCAGAUUUAUGAUUAUAUAUGAUUAUGUUGUUGUUAGAAUUAUGUUUAUCAUUCUUACAUUUGUAAUUUUAUGUUACUAGUUUUUAUUUAGAGGUUUAGUAUUCAAAUUUGUUGAAACUGGGGAGACAAAAUUAAAUCUUCCUUAAUCAAGCAUGUUUGUACAGAUGGUGAGUUAGAUCUUCCUGGGAUAGUCCUGAGCUGUAAAACCUGUCUAUGUAUUAAUUUACUUUAUGCAUCUCCCCUCUGUCUGUCUGAAUUCACAUCCUACUGUGAAUUUAGGAUGUGGGUUUCACCCCAUACAUUCCUGUUCACACCUUUAGCAGUUCACCCUGCUAAUAAAAGAGACAAACAAACUGAAGGUUUUCAGAACACAUGCUGAGCGGCUUGGAGGAGCAGUUCACUGUGUCUCCUUCUGCAGAAGUUUGGUUGAAAACUCAUAUAUGUUAUCUGUGGUUCUCUUUUUUCAUGUAGGUUUAAGAAAAUACCUAUCAGUUGUGAUCCCGAUUUUUUUCUUUGGAAAAUCUGUAAAAGGCUUUUUCAUGUUGAAGGCAUAUUCCACACUGAUACCAGAUAUUAAAAUGAGUUUGUUUGUGGAAGAAUCACCAGUCAUCAGCAUCAGUCUCUCUCGCCCUCUCAGCCCUCUGUCGCUUCUUCCAAGAUUCAUCCUCCAAAUAUGGCUGGGUCUCUGAAACUCCACAUCUCUACCAACACUGGCUAUCUUACUUGGAGACUCAAAACUGUCCAAUGCAUGAGGAGCACGGUGAUGUCCCCGGCCAAACUUCAUGAACAGCCCAACAACCUGAAGACCGUCUGUGUUAGUGAGUGGACAGUCCUUUAGACCCUGUCUCUCAUUAGGCAUUCAGCAGAAACUGGGUAAGAAAUGAUGGCACUGAAUACAUGUGAAGUUAAAUCAGAAAAAAAGAAGAGAGAGAGAAAAAAGAAAGUAAAUAAAGUCAAAAGAAGGAAGAAAAGAUGUGCACUCAAUGUGUUCUACACUCACCUUAAAGAGGGAUAGACAAGGGGGAAAAAAGAUGAUAAGGCAGAAACUGUGUGUUAUGAGGUCAGACUGUUCUGGAGUUGACCGGGCCUCCAGCUUUGCCGGCCCAUUAACACCUGUAGGCAGCAAUGUUUGAACUGAAGCGUUGGAUUUUGGUUGUGACGUUUGGUAUUGAUUGCUUUUUGAUCUUUAUGGUUGAACUGAUUGUUGUGAGUUUGGUUGGUGGACUUGGGGGUUGAGGUUAAGUUCAACUAUUAACUAAUUGAGGGUUGGAUUAAGAAAAAUAAUAACGUGAAGCUAUUUAUAUAUUUAUAAAAUAAAUAUUUAUGAUUAAUAUUG